rnacentral:lncRNA from 1 species
UUAAUUUCAAGCUGAGUGUAACAGUUUAAUUUAAUCUAUUCUCCUGAGAGAGCGCAACAUCUUCGGUUUAAAAGCCUACAAUCAGCUAAUUUCCAUUCUCCUUUCUCCUUUCUCCUUCCAAUUUCCCAUUUGUUAAAUAUCAAUGGAUAUGUAAUCAGUGUCUUCAUCAGUAAUCGAGUCUUCAUCACUAAUCGCCUUUUAGUUUCGGAUUUUUGAGGUACGUGUCUUCACUGCUCAAUUUUUGAGGUAUGUGUCUUCAUCACUAGACACUAAUCACUAAUCAGUUUCAGAUUUCAUCAUUGUCUCAACAUUCGAUUCUCCUUCACCACCAAUCAGUUUCAGAUUUCAUUUUGUCUCAGCAUUCGAUUCUCCAUUCACCAUCAUCUACGGUUUAUCAAUAUUCGAUUUACGAGGUAUGUUCUUUAUUAUAUACUCGCAUUCCAUUUAUUAAUCUGAUCAUUUUUUGAUGAAAUAACAUUGAACUUAACUGUGGUAUAAUCUAUUCUUGCUGAAUCAUUGGUUGUGUUGCUGAAUUGUUGAUUGUAUUUCACUGUGUUUGAGUUUUUUAUUCAAAUAUGCCAAUGUAUACCAACUAUUCGAUGAAAUGCGUAAGUAAUAAUGUGUAUUAAUUUUCCUUCGAAUUUCAAGUGUCAAUAUGUGAAAAUGUGGAGUUCCAUUAAUCUAUGACACGGUCCUAUUGAAUCAUGAAAGGUAACAAGAUUUCCAAGAAGAACAACCUCAGCGGAUAUUAUUUAUCCUGAUAUUCUGGCUUUAGAACCCAUUAUGAUCCAAUGGAGUUUUUCUGCAACAAAGCUAUCACCUUGAGAAGAUUCUUGAACAAAGGCAAAUCUUUUGAAGAUAUAUUGUCUUUGAAGUGAUCCACUAUGCUGGCUGAAGUUGAGCUACCACCUUUUUGCUGAAUGAAAGAACAUAUUUGACGAAUCAGAAGUUCUGGAAGUACUCCAACAUUGCUUGCUGAUCUAGAAUGCCCAUUAGUUGCUGACCGUUUUCUUCCAUUGCAGGGUGUACCAAUGGCUAGCUGAUGUGAUAAGUUAUAUCUGCAACUCAUGUUAUAUAAAUGUUGGGUUAAUUUUAGUUUCUUUCCAGAUUUGGUUUAUAAAAUCAUCAUGACUUAUUAACAACUUUGUUCAUAACCUUUACAUAUUGUAUCAAACAUAACAUCACAUAUAACUUUCUGCACUAGAAUGGUGAUAUACCUCGCAUCACACCUAUUUGUUAUUCUAUCAAAAUAUUAAGAAAUUAUGAGUUAUUUUCUGACAUUGGGUUGUCCUUGAUUUUCAGAUUUUGUUCCCAUAUGAAGAAUUCAUAGAAUUUUUCAAUUAGGAGAAGCCAGGCUAUUCUCCUUUUGGACAUAUAAAUGGUGGAAACAGGUAAGUGAAGUUUUAUUUAGGCACUUCGUUUCUUGCUCAUCUAAAAUAAGGGGGAAAUGGGGGAUGUGAAUCUAACUCAAUCUAGAGCAAAAACAAGACAAUGCACCUAUUGUAAACGUACGCAUAUGAUCUUUGUUAGGAAAAAUGAUGUCCUCAAUAUUCCAUUGAUUUUUGUUGCAACAUAUGGGUUAUAAAUUCAUUUCUUAUUUUUAAGCAUCCAACUUAAAUAGAUUUUUUCUAGAGUUCUCUAAAGGAUUCCUGAAAGUUAUUUCAAAUUUUUCUAUUUGGCUGUAUUUAAGCUUGAAGAUAAUGCACAGUGACCUGUGUAGUAUUGAAUUUUCAGACUGUAAGAAUCAUUACUGGCUGCAUUUCAGAUGAGAGAAAGUUCUAUUAAAUCCAGUGAAGUCCCGAGCAUGCAGACCUGCUGGUUUGGGAGAGGAUGGUCUCUGGUUGGAUAUAUAAAACUUACUUCAUCCAACCAAAAUGCUUCUGGUACACAUUCCUAUAUAUCGUGAAUCUAGCUUGCCUCUUGAUCUUAAAUUUUUCGACUUCCAAUAUCAUACUUAUAUAUUCUCUAUUCUAAUAUUUUCUUUAUCCUUCUUGCUUACCCAUAUAAAUUGGAAUGUAUUUUCUCUUUUGGUUGUCUGAAAAUUCUUGCUUCGAAUUGUCUUUUAUGCAUAAGUGGGCCAUGAUAUUGUAGAUAGAACUGAUAUCUGCAACUUUUUUCAUGAUUUCGUAUGCUCUCAUGGCUGGUUCUUUGUAGGUUAUGUGAGGGAAGCAAUUGAAAUUUGAAACAUUGAGAUGGAACAAUGUAAAUUCCUUCAUUCUGCAUCUCCGAGAUAAUAGGUGACAUGCUCUGAACAUUCCUUAUAUUCAGAGUUGUAAGUUAAUGCAGAUUUUGAGUUAUUUCAACUUAUACUUAUGUUCUAUGGUUUGUCUGUGGAUUUAUUUCUUGAAUUGAUCAGUCCACCAAAAUAUGUAGGACGUAUUAUUAUUUUGUUGAGAGCUUUGGCUGAGUUGGAGAUAAGAAGAGCAUGGAAAUGGUUUAUACAUAUUGUUCAGUAUGAUAUAUGUUGACAUCUUAAAAAUAUAAUAGAUAUAUAGUUUAGUGACUGAAUUUAAAUGACAAACUAAAUUUAUGAUCAUUAAAUUUAAUUGGAUUGAAAAUUUUAACUAUUUGAUGUUGGUUUGAGGUAAAUUCAGUUUAGCGUAUAUGUAAAAAUUCUAAGCUCGUGUUUGGUUGGGUGUUUUUGGAGGUUGGAAAGGGAAUCAAUUAAUUGAAUCCAUUUCUUAUUGUUUGGUUUGGAUAAUAAGGUAACAUUCUUCCUCAACUUCGUCAUCAUUGGUAAAUUUCAUCGUAUUUUUCAUUAUUUACAAAGCUGAGUCGAAUGAACUCCUCUUAACAUAAAAGUCAUUGUGCAAGGAUACAUGAAGCGACGAAGCACGGCGUCAAUCUCGCGGGGAAGGGAUUUUUAUCAAUUGUUUCUUUUAUUUCCCAUGUUAUUGCAACUUCUUCUAUUAGUAUAUCUCAUUGUGGAAGUGGAUGAAGAAUUUUAAAGUUGGCCUUCCAAUACGUGAUAUGCGAUCCAAUGCCAUCACAUGGCUGAUUUUGUAUUACAAAUAUAUGUAAUAAUUAACAUUUACUAUAUGUGUGAGCAAAUCGAUCAUGUAGGCAAAUUAAGAUGUUAGGAAGAACUUGGUUGCACAUAUAUUGUGUGGGAAGGAAAAAGUUUAUGUUGUAUUGGAUUGAAUACAGAAUAUUAGCUAUUCUUUUCUUAAAUGUCAUGAUUCGUU